GACGAACGCUGGCGGCGUGCCUAACACAUGCAAGUCGAACGGGGUUAAGAGCUUCGGCUUUUAACUUAGUGGCGAACGGGUGAGUAACGCGUGAGAAACCUGCCUUUCAGUGGGGGACAACAGUUGGAAACGACUGCUAAUACCGCAUAUGAGCGUAGCUGAAAUGCUAUUCUUGAAAACUCCGGUGCUUAAGGAUGAGCCUGCAUCUGAUUAGCUAGUUGGGGGUNUAAUGGACCACCAAGGCGACGAUCAGUAGCUGGUUUGAGAGGAUGAUCAGCCACAAUGGGACUGAGACACGGCCCAUACUCCUACGGGAGGCAGCAGUAGGGAAUUUUGCGCAAUGGGCGAAAGCCUGACGCAGCAACGCCGCGUGAUUGGAUGAAGCCCUUCGGGUGUAAAGAUCUGUCAGUGGGGACGAAACUUGACGGUACCCACAGAGGAAGCAUCGGCUAACUCCGUG
rnacentral:rRNA from 1 species